AUGGUUCAUGCCUAUUUAGAUGAGCGUCCCCAGCGUUGGCGUUGGCGUCGGCGUCGUCGUCCUGGUGCUGGUCUCCGACCGGUCGCUGGUCGCCUUGGUCUCCGGCCCUCCCCAGGCGCUCCAGCACCCUUGCCGACCCCGCAGCCCUGGCGCUCCCUGCGGGCCCUGCCGAGGCCGCUUGCGACCCCGGGAGCCGGUGGGCGCCGAGUGCGGCCACCGCUUCUGUUGGGCGUGCAUGGUGCGCUUCUGGGCCGAGGAGGAUGGGCCCUUCGCGUGCCCAGAGUGCGCCGACGACUGCUGGCAGCGCGCCGUGGAGCCCGGCCGGCUCCCGCUCAGCCACCGCCUUCUGGCGCUAGAGGAGGCGGCCGCGGCGCCCGCGCGCGAUGGCCGGGCCAGUGAGGCCGAGCUGCAGCCGCGCUGACCCCGGCCCGCUCUGCGCCGCCUGCCGCAUGGCUGUGGGCCCCUAGCCACCCGAGUGGGAGCCGCGCUGCAGGAAGGUGCUGCGUGGCAAGGAGAACAAGGGGUCUGUGGAAAUCAUGAGAAAGGACUUGAAUGACGCCUGGGAUCUGCAUGGCCAGGCGGAGUCAGCAGCUGCAGUGUGGAAGGGACACGUGAUGGACCGUAGGAAGAACGCACUGACCAACUACAAGCAGCUGCGGGCCUUCUUUGCGGAGGAGGAGGAGCAGCACUUCCUGCAGGAGGCUGAGAAGCCCCUCCUCCUCCUCACUCAGGUCACUGCUCAGGUCACUGCUGCAGGCAGUGUCGGAGCUGGAGACGAAGCACCGGAACCUGGGCCUCAGCAUGCUGCUGCAGUGAUGGCGCCAACCCGCGGCAGUCCCAGAGCUGGAGGCAGGAGGAUGGAUCCUCAUCUGCCUGGGAAGUGUCAGCAUGUGGCUGUCAGGGAAGUGUGGAAGGCGCCCGGCCUUGGGUCCAUCUAUAUAGUUGUGUGUUUCAACAAUGUGCCUUUAUCCUUCACCCUGAGGUGUGAGUGUUUUGGGGGCUUCAAACACCUCCUGGUAGAGGCUGGACCUGAGGACCCUUCCGACCUGUGCGACCCUUCCUGAAGUCCUGGCCACAGCCCAUCUUCCAUGAGUCCCGGCAGCUCUGGGCCAUGCCCUUCCUUGGUCACCCAUCUGCCCCUCACCUUGUCAUCCAGGGACCCAGACCCUGCACCUUCCAUGCGGGCCCACAGAUCCUUGGCAGGUACCUGAGGUGCACCAUUGAGUGUCGAAUUUGGGGUUAGCAUCCAGAAGAACGCACAUGAGGCUCUGUGAAGGCUGGAACUCAGGUCUUCAGGGAAGAGAGAAAGGAAGAUAAUUGCACCUUGAUGCCUCCUAGGAGGCGGCCCUCCUCUUGAGGUGGGCGUGCGCCCCGCCCAGCCUUAUCAGUGUCGCUCUGUCCACCUCCCUCUUUCUGGCCCCAACCCUGCUUCUGUGUCUCCCAGGAGCCCUCCCUGUGCUCUACCUGCCUCCGCAGAAGGAACUCUUUCUCAGUUUCCCUGGAUGAAGGGGCUGGCAGGUGGCUAACCCUAUUUAGCCUCUCCAGGUCCUGCCAUGGUGUCUCAUCUUGCUGUUCUCUCUGGCUCUUUCUCUCUUCCCAUUUCCUUUAGUAGUUGAAUUUUUCAAAGCUCGUAGCAGUAGCUCAAUUGCCUGCAGCAUCCUUGUGUGUAGAUAAAUUAGUCGACAGAAACUCAGCACUGGGGACAGGAUUGCAAAGUCGGGGACAUAGAUGCAGGCAGAUGUUGAGAUUUGGGUAUAGCUGGGCUUGUGAGCAGUGCCUGUUUCCAGAUGAAGCCUUUCAGCCCUUCCGAGUCCCCGGCCUUUGGUGUGAUAUCUGUGAGUUUGACCUACCCAGCGUGUGGGCUGGCUCAAUGCUGAAUAAAGUGGGUUUGUAUCAAAAAAAAAAAAAAAAAAAAAA